rnacentral:lncRNA from 1 species
GGCCCGUGCAGCGCCUGCAGAGGCGUGGGGUCCGACAGGUGGGCACCUUCAGUGCUUGGCGCGGCUUCGGCGGGGUGGGCCAGGCGGCGGUCUUAAGGCCUGUGGCGCCUGCGGGGUCAGCGGGCGGUGGCGCGGUUCGGAUCCGCUUCCGAGCAUCUCCGCGGUCUCCGAGCGAGGGCUGGUCCGUGCCAGACCCGGAGGCCGGGCGGGCGGGACACAACCCCGUCGACGGUAGCGCGGUUUUGGCCGCCUGUCGAAGUGGCGUUUUCCUCUUUCCGUGGCUCCUAGGAACUUAAGUCGCACACGAGGCCCACGCCCGGUGUCUGUGGGGCUGCCCGCGUGGCCUCGGCCGCCGCCCCUUUGGUGCGCUCAGCAGCAGCAAGGGGCAGCUCCCCGCGGAGAUGCGCCCGGCCGAGCCCCGUCCCGAUGGUCGGGAGGGUGAAGUACAGGAGGGUGUUCUUGUACUUCUGAGGCUUGGUGCGUGUGGGGACGUUUGUUGGAGGAACUGGGAAUGGAACCCGGGGCCUCGCGCAUGCCAGGCAAAUGCUCUACCACUGAGCUACGCCCGCAGCCUUUUUGAGACGGGAUCUGGCUAAAUUGUCCAGGUUGAACUCGAACUUGUGGUCCUCCUGCCUCGGCCCUCCACUUAGCUGGAAGUACAGGCGUGGGCACCUUGCCCAGAGACUUGUUCUUUUUUGUUUGUUUGUUUGUUUGUUUUAAUAUUUUUUAGUUUUUGGCGGACACAACAUCUUUGUAUGUGGCGCUGAGGAUCGAACACGGGCCGCACGCAUGCCAGGAGAGUGCGCUACCGCUUGAGCCACAUCCCCAGCCCCCAGAGACUUGUUCUUGAGAGUGUGCAUCUCACCUUUCCUGCGUGGCACUCCACUUGGAGUGUGAGUUCCUUGCCUUCAAGACCCAGUGCUACCUUCAUGUAGCUCAUACCUGAAACUGCUGCAACUCUGGAAGCCGAAACCCAUAUUGCAAGAUGGAGACCAGCAUGGGUCUUUCCCAGGUUCCCAGGUGUGACAUUUCAGGCCUGGCGGACUAUGAACCAGUGUCGCGCCCCAGUUCAAUAGGAUUGACCAGGUGCUUUUCCACUGAAUUGCAGCUCUUCAUAAUGCCACUGUGGGGUGAUGACUGCUUCAGAUCCGAUGAACUGGUCUAUUUUUGUGCUUGCCUUGACUUGUUUUACAAACCAAGAUUUGGGGCCCAAGACAAAAGACUUGAGUUUAGAUUUUCUAACUGUGGAGGUUAGUAUUUUGUCCAUUGAUGGGAAGUGAAGGGAUUUAGGGUACUGUUGUGGAUUAGCUCGUGAUGGUUUGAAGGCAUCUUAGUUCCAGAACAUAAACUAUGAAGAAGAAAUGUGCACAUCUACAUCACCAGAAACAAGCAGAGGCCACUGCAGGUGCACAGAUCAGACAAGGAUCAAAGUAGCUUAGACUCUACCGUCUAAGGUGGGCUCUGGGCCUACAGUGGCUCGUGCCAAGGGCAGUUGAACACGCUUCAGUUUGGGGAACUGCCCAGCCAGAGUAGCAGAGAGCAGGGCUGCUGUUCUGUGGCCUAGGUGGCUGUGGCUAAGUUGAUGUUCUAUGAAAGUCAGGGCAUCCAGCAGCACUCCCCCCCAGGUGAUCAUGCUGCCAUGGCUACCCUGGCAGCUAGCUCUUGCUGGUACCUUGUCCUUCCUGAAUCAGCCUUCUUCAACUUAAGCAGGUACAGCAAAGUUGGUUCUUAUGAGCCCCGCAGGAGGCCUGAGAGACCCCUGGGCACCCACAGUGCAUUCUACUUCCCUGGAUAUAGGCCACCCUGUCUGAAUACCUGUAGGCCUCAGCCCAGAGCAGAGGGCUGAUGAGAUGGGUCACUCAUCCUGUGCUCAGGCCUUCAAGGAGUAUGUCCUUGGGGUCGGCCUUCCCUGGGGCAGUGACUGGCCAUAUAGGUGCUUCUGGACAUCUUCCAGGGAGUGUCACACUCAGAGUAUGUUACCUGUUAAACAUGGUUUCCUGCUGAGUCAGCAUGUUUUGAUUACUAUUACCCUCUCUGGAUACAGUGGUGCACAACUGUAAUCCCAGGGACUUAGGAACCUGAAGUAGGUGAUGGCAAAUUCCAGGCCAGCCUGGGCAAUUUAGUGAGACCUGAUCUCAAAAUAAUCAGAAGGGUUGUGAGGUAGCUAAGUGGUCAGUGCUCCUGGGCUUAAUUCCCAGUACUGAGGGGAAAAAGCUACUUUCAACCACCCCCUCCCUGGCGUGUGUGUGUGUUACUGGUGAGUGAAUUAAGGGCCUUGUAUAUGCUGGGCAAGCACUCUGCUACUAAGCUGAGUUACAUUCCCAGCCUCAAAUAUACUUGCACGCACAAGGCCCUGUAUUUGAUCCCCAGCGCUACCAAAAAAAAAAAAGCAAGCGUUCUUAGAACACAGCUUCCUUUAGCCUGCACCUGCUAUCCUGCUAGAUGUGUAAAGGGGUCACCAGCAAGUUCAUGGGCACCUAGAGGGCUACUGGCUGCAGGUUUUUGCUGUAUUAGGCUUCUGUGCCCAAUUCUGAGACAGGCGUGCGGGAGAGAGCAGGGCAGUGGUGGUAAAUCAGUACCUGGCGAUUGCUUGGUCACAUCUAGAUCCUGACCUCAGCUGGCACCAGUUAUGGCCUCUUCACAGAAGAAGGGCCUGUCUGUGGAUGCUGAGGAGGUGGAAGCUUGGGGAUUUCUGGGGCCUGUGGAUAAAGGGAGGUGAGAAGAGGGCAUGGGUUGUGGACCUGGGAGGCCAGCCUUGGAGCAGCAUCAAGCUGUACAACAGGUCAGGGUGGGACCAGGAGGAUCAGGUUAGACUUGGGACUUGAGACACGUCAUGCACCUUCUGCAAGUGCAACUUUGUUAUCCUCCCCUAGGAGCUCGAGCAAAGUCUUGGCUGUUGGCCAUGUGCCUGUACAACUUGGCACUCAGGGUCUGAGUUCACAUGUCUAACAAGCUUGGAAAACCCCAGAGCAAAAAGAUCAAGCCUCUUGGCCUGAUGUGAGCCUCAGAAGUCCUUGCCCAAUAAACAACUGCUGGCAAUAAGAUGGAACGUU